GGCACUCAUUUUACAUUUUGUUUCUCUUGAGGCAUUAGACACCCUUCAUGCUGAAAGAAUAGGCCAUGGAUAUCAUGUCAUACAAGAUGCUGAACUCUAUCAGAGAAUAGUCAAAGAAAAAAUUCAUCUAGAGGUGUGUCCUACAUCAAGUAUACUAACUGGUGCUGUGAAGCCAUGUUUCAAAACACAUCCACUAACAAGGUUCGUCGAGGAUGGAGUAAAUUUUUCCAUUAACUCAGAUGAUCCUCUUUUUUGCCAAACAAGAGUGGACCUUGAACAAGGCAUUGCUUUUGAUAACAUUGGACUGAGCCCUGCAGAAUUAACCCAAGCGGUAUAUUUUGUUGCCUGUCACUUGGCUGCGACCCCAUUCAAAUUUAACCUCAGCCUUGUGGACUGGAUUACUCAUAUCUGGAAUGUCCUUGAAGA